AAGAAUGUUUCUCAAUUAAAGAUCUGAGGGUGACAGUUGGAUUGGGACAUGCAAACUGUUUGAAGGUUAUUGAAGUGGAUUCCCAUCUGUGCCCUCAAGCAACAGGUUUUGAUGAUCUUGCACUUUAAGGCUUUGUUCCACAUGGGAGUAAGAGAAGAUGACACUGAGUGGAUAUUAGGCAGCGGAUGCUGUUUCACUUCCCAGACAGAACCAUGAGAGAAGCUUUCCGAGGGUUUUGUCCAGUCUUCCCUGUGAGCACCUGGUGGGGUUCUUGAGGAAGAGGUUGCAAAAGGAUACAAAAUUACAUUUGCCUGUAUCCCCACGAGGCUUCCAGCUCUCAUGUUCACCCAUACUCAGACUUUAGCAAUUAUUUAAAAUUUUCUGGUUGCUGCUUCUUACCAGCUUAUAUUGCCACUACGUAUCUUAUGUCUCAGUCAGGGUUUGAGAAAUUCCACAGACAUUGAAUUCCAACUAAAUCUAUGUAGACCACUGCAACAGCCAUGAGGAUCUAGAUAUGCUGAGAUCAAGCUCUUUAUGACAUGACUGACCAGGCUACACAACCUCUUCUUGAUCCAGGAGGAAUGAUCAAAUUGAUAAACGAAAUUGAUGCUGAAAAAAAGAAGAACAGUCAAGAAGCAAUUGAAAAGGCUAAAGUUAGUAGGUAUAGAAAUUGGAAAAAAGAAAAAAGAGAGAGAAGGGAUGAAUAUCAGAGAGCAUUUUGUGGGGGAAAUUAUAGGGGAAAAAAAAGAAGGAAUCCUCAGCGUGAAUCCAGAAAACAAGGAGCUUCAAUGAUGACCCUAAUGUGAAGGAUGAACAAUCAUGACAGGAGCAAGAAAAACAGGGGUGCCCCACUUGGCAAUAAAGGAGACCUCAUGAAUUGGAUAUCUGAGCACCGGAUGCACAAAAGUAAUCAGAAAUCAGAGGAACUUCUAAAGAAAGCUAUUAUCAUAAUUUUAUUCUUCAAAUUUUAACGUGAAAACAUUUAUUUGAUCUCUUUAGGUUUGUUAAUAAAGACUGUAUAAAAUGUAUUUGAUUG
rnacentral:lncRNA from 1 species